rnacentral:rRNA from 1 species
UACACUCCUACGGGAGGCAGCAGUGGGGAAUAUUGGACAAUGGGCGCAAGCCUGAUCCAGCCAUGCCGCGUGAGUGAUGAAGGCCCUAGGGUUGUAAAGCUCUUUCACCGGUGAAGAUAAUGACGGUAACCGGAGAAGAAGCCCCGGCUAACUUCGUGCCAGCAGCCGCGGUAAUACGAAGGGGGCUAGCGUUGUUCGGAUUUACUGGGCGUAAAGCGCACGUAGGCGGACUAUUAAGUCAGGGGUGAAAUCCCGGGGCUCAACCCCGGAACUGCCUUUGAUACUGGUAGUCUUGAGUUCGAGAGAGGUGAGUGGAAUUCCGAGUGUAGAGGUGAAAUUCGUAGAUAUUCGGAGGAACACCAGUGGCGAAGGCGGCUCACUGGCUCGAUACUGACGCUGAGGUGCGAAAGCGUGGGGAGCAAACAGGAUUAGAUACCCGGGUAGUCCCAUG